AUUGAACGCUGGCGGCAUGCCUUACACAUGCAAGUCGAACGGUAACAGGUCUUCGGAUGCUGACGAGUGGCGAACGGGUGAGUAAUACAUCGGAACGUGCCCGAUCGUGGGGGAUAACGAAGCGAAAGCUUUGCUAAUACCGCAUACGAUCUACGGAUGAAAGCAGGGGACCGCAAGGCCUUGCGCGAACGGAGCGGCCGAUGGCAGAUUAGGUAGUUGGUGGGAUAAAAGCUUACCAAGCCGACGAUCUGUAGCUGGUCUGAGAGGACGAUCAGCCACACUGGGACUGAGACACGGCCCAGACUCCUACGGGAGGCAGCAGUGGGGAAUUUUGGACAAUGGGCGCAAGCCUGAUCCAGCAAUGCCGCGUGCAGGAUGAAGGCCUUCGGGUUGUAAACUGCUUUUGUACGGAACGAAAAGCCCUGGGUUAAUACCCUGGGGUCAUGACGGUACCGUAAGAAUAAGCACCGGCUAACUACGUGCCAGCCGCCGCCGUAAAAC
rnacentral:rRNA from 1 species